GACUCAAGCCCUGGUCUGCAAGCUGCAGAGAGCACACGCUCAUAAGAAAUAUUGAAGAGCUGGGGGACAGCCAGAUAGGCUGCUUGGUGAGGCAGAAGUCUUAGAGGCCUUCUUGGAGGAGGCAGGGUUUGAACCACAGAUGCUUUGGAACUGGAGCCAUAAAUACAUUAUCGGAUGGAAAAUCCCCUUGAUAAUGAGGCCUGAGCCAGUCUGGGAGCACCCUGCCGGAGAACAGGACAUGGAAUUGGAAAAGCUAGAGGCUCUGCAGGAGGGAGCCCUACUCCUCCUACCUGGCCAGUGGAGGGGGAGCAGAGCUGAGUGAGGACCAUGCACAGUCAUCCCUUGGAAGGUGAGCGUGAGCACAGGGUGGUAGGACAGAGAAAGACCUAAGCAGGCUCCCUGCCAAGAGGCCAUGGGGAAGUGCUGUCUAGUCCCCAUUUUCCUCUCUUAAACAGGUACACUCAAGUGACCCGAUAGGAUAAUAGACAGCAGGUCCUAAAGACCCGGCUGUCCUCGGAACACACCCAUCUUCCCUGCCUCCCUUGUGAAAGCAGCUUUCGGGACCCUAAUGAUUUUCCAGAAAAGGAAACAGGAAAUGGAGAUGAUCAGAUGUACAAACCCGAGCUGUGUGCACAGUGGCCACGAAGAAGGAACAUGCUUAGCAUUUUCUGCAAAGUUCUGCAGAAAUUUGGGAGUGAUGGGAAACAGGUUUACAGGUGCCUAGGCUGAGAGCUGCCACCUUAGCGAACUGGCUUCCUUCGGGGGUCUGUAGGCUGCUGACCUGUCGCUCCUUUGUGCUGCUGCUCAUCUUGGGGAGAGGGCUGAAUUGAAGGAAAGGUCAGGCUCCCACACAAUAGGAGCUGGGUGUGGAAUCAGGACACCCAGACACACAAGCUCUCAGAACCUCAGGAAACCAGGGGAGAUAAGAGGGGAGGUGCUGCAGGAAACUCCACCCACCCUCAGCUGUGGAGAUGUUCUGGAGUUCCCACUGCUUCUCCACAGAGCAGCCCAACAAGGAGGAAGGAUGAACAUCCCCAGACUAGGUUUCUGUAACUCUCCCCAGGAUAACUGAGGCUGCUGCACCCAGAGCUUGUCCCAGUGGCCUCCAUUCUCAUUCUCAGAAGUGGUCACUGCUCAGGACAGAGGCCCGGCUUCACGGCCCACCAUCUGGUCCAUUUUCAAAACCAGAGGCCAAAGCCGGGUAGAGGGAGGACCAAGCAAAAAAUAGGUAUUUCUCCAUGUAGCCCAGGAGAAGUCAGAUGUGCCAAAGGGAAAAGGAUAUACCAUUU
rnacentral:lncRNA from 1 species